AACGAACGCUGGCGGCAUGCCUAACACAUGCAAGUCGAACGAGACCUUCGGGUCUAGUGGCGCACGGGUGCGUAACGCGUGGGAACCUGCCCUUAGGUUCGGAAUAACUCCCCGAAAGGGGUGCUAAUACCGGAUAAUGUCUUCGGACCAAAGAUUUAUCGCCUUUGGAUGGGCCCGCGUUGGAUUAGCUAGUUGGUAGGGUAAAAGCCUACCAAGGCGACGAUCCAUAGCUGGUCUGAGAGGAUGAUCAGCCGCACUGGGACUGAGACACGGCCCAGACUCCUCCGGGGGGCAGCAGUGGGGAAUUUUGGACAAUGGGCGAAAGCCUGACCCAGCAAGGCCGGGUGAGUGAUGAAGGCCUUAGGUUUGUAAAGCUCUUUUACCCGGGAUGAUAAUGACAGUACCGGGAGAAUAAGCCCCGGCUAACCCCGU
rnacentral:rRNA from 1 species